UACAGAGGGUGCAAGCGUUAAUCGGAAUUACUGGGCGUAAAGGGUGCGUAGGUGGUUUUAUAAGUUAGGUGUGAAAGUCCUGGGCUUAACCUGGGGACUGCGCCUAAUACUGUAGAGCUAGAGUACUGUAGAGGGAGGUGGAAUUUCCGGUGUAGCAGUGAAAUGCGUAGAUAUCGGAAGGAACAUCAGUGGCGAAGGCGACUUCCUGGACAGAUACUGACACUGAGGCACGAAAGCGUGGGGAGCAAACAGG
rnacentral:rRNA from 1 species